UACGAAGGGGGCUAGCGUUGUUCGGAAUCACUGGGCGUAAAGCGCACGUAGGCGGAUCGUUAAGUCGGGGGUGAAAUCCCAGGGCUCAACCCUGGAACUGCCUUCGAUACUGGCGAUCUUCGAGUCCGGGAGAGGUGAGUGGAACUCCGAGUGUAGAGGUGAAAUUCGUAGAUAUUCGGAGGAACACCAGUGGCGAAGGCGGCUCACUGGUCCAUUACUGACGCUGAGGUGCGAAAGCGUGGGGAGCAAACAGGG
rnacentral:rRNA from 1 species